UAUACCCCGGGCAUGUGGUAGUGUAUAUAAAUUAAAAAAAUAUAAAUCAUGGGGUUUACGAUGAUGCCGUAUAUUAUAAAUGCGUCGAUUGUAGUUUAAGGCAUAACGGUUUCAAUAACGCAUCUGAGUAAGUUCAUCAGUAAUUUGGACACUGAAAAACAGUUUCAGAUUAUAUUAGUCAAUUGAUAGUAUCCCAAUAUUACAACCUGUCGGCGGAACUCUGGUGGAUGUGGAAAGUGACAAUGAAACUUUUAAUUAUUACCAUCUGUAUGAUUAGUAGUGCUUUCAUAGCACAGAGCGAUGCUGGAUCAUUGUUGCGACUGAAGAGACAAGGAUACGGUUACGGCGGGGGCAGUGGAUAUGGCCAAGAUCCUAACGCAAUGCAAGGUGGUUACGGCGGUGGUGGAUAUGGCCAGGAUCCUAACGCCAUGCAGAGUGGUUACGGUGGUGGUGGAUAUGGACAAGACCCAAACGCCAUGCAGGGCGGUUACGGCGGUGGAGGAUAUGGACAAGACCCAAACGCCCAGGGUGGUUAUGGCGGUGGUGGAUAUGGACAAGACCCAAACGCCCAGGGUGGUUAUGGCGGUGGUGGAUAUGGACAAGACCCUAACGCCAUGCAGGGUGGAUACCAAAGGCAAUACUAGGGAUAUAAUAUAAUAAAUUGCCGUCCUAUUUAAUAUAGCCAAACAUAUAAACUCCUGUGAUUAUUUAUUUGUACGUUAAUAAAAUAAAAUCCUUAAUAAAUGUAUAGAAAAAGAAAUUGUCCAUGCAUAGUUGUCAGGUAAUCUGAUCUAGAUGUAUUCACAAAAUACAUAGACUUGACGCUGUCAGAUUUAGUUGAUAGCGUUAACUGUAUGUUUUUUUAAAAAUGCAGUAAUGUGAAUACAUCUACAGCUAUGUAUAUUUAUUUAGUGUAAAUAUUUGAGAGAUACUUGAUGUCAUGUUGCAAUAAAAUAUUAAAAUAUAUAAACUUUAA